rnacentral:rRNA from 1 species
UACGUAGGGUGCGAGCGUUGUCCGGAAUUAUUGGGCGUAAAGAGCUCGUAGGCGGUGUGUCGCGUCGGCCGUGAAAACCUGCAGCUUAACUGUGGGCUUGCGGUCGAUACGGGCAUCACUGGAGUUCGGCAGGGGAGACUGGAAUUCCUGGUGUAGCGGUGAAAUGCGCAGAUAUCAGGAGGAACACCGGUGGCGAAGGCGGGGUCU